UAACAAGGCUCAAUAAUCACUCUGCAGAUUGUCGGCUGGUUUUCGCUGAAUCCAAAUUUAAUUACUUAUUCUCAUUUACAGGUGUCCAGAGAGAUAAUUAAAGCCAUUGAUCAUCCUCACGCCUGCAGACGUGUGCUAACCACCAGCUAAUGCUAAUCUCCUUGUGUUUUGGGUGGAGGAUGAUGGGAAGUGGACAGCCACAGCUCCCGGGCCUUUUCCCAGGACGAAGAAUCACCGGGUUGUUCUUUCUCUGAGAAGCCAGCAGCAGUCUGCCCGGGGGUACGUCCAGAUGUCAACGUGAGAUUUAAACUUUCGUCCUUCAGCAGAUGAAUGUGAAAACAAACUCUGCACAGAGAAGAAGAACAACGUCGAACUGAAAGGAACAAGAAGAAGAACCAGCUAGCAGUCAGGCUUCAGGGCGGUGAUGUCAGCGGAGCGAGACGUGUCGACGGCUACUGUCCAGAUUUCUAUGAAAUUCUCUGAGGAUGCUAAUGAAUCUGAUGACCCCCGACAUUUCCUCUACUACUGGAGAUUCUCCCGUUCAGACAGCGGCAGCUGUUGCAGUCUUCGUCCCAUCUGCUUCCAUCCAGAGCGACGAGCCCGCCGACCACACAGGACCUCCCCGACACUGCAACGACAUCAACACUCUGACUAACAGACGCCAGCUGACAUCCUGACCUUUUACUUUAUUUGAUUUUGUAAAUGAGUGUUUUUAUUAAGUGAUUUUCAGUCCAAAUUUUACAGAAAUAAACAUGAACUAAUGUGA